rnacentral:rRNA from 1 species
UACGUAGGGCGCAAGCGUUGUCCGGAAUUAUUGGGCGUAAAGAGCUCGUAGGCGGUUUGUCGCGUCUGCCGUGAAAACCCGAGGCUUAACCUCGGGCCUGCGGUGGAUACGGGCAGACUAGAGGUAGGUAGGGGAGAAUGGAAUUCCCGGUGUAGCGGUGAAAUGCGCAGAUAUCAGGAGGAACACCGGUGGCGAAGGCGGUUCUCUGGGCAUGUCCUGACGCUGAGGAGCGAAAGUGUGGGGAGCGAACAGG